GAGGGGGGGAGUGCAAAAUCAAAGAAAGGCACACAAUUGAAACCUUUUUAAAAAUUCCAAUAAUGAAAGAAGGAAAUGCAAACUUUUUUUUUAUAAUACAUUAUUUUGAAAGUAAAAAUAUUAAACAACAACAACAACAACAACAUUAACAGUGACAAUGUGUGUGUGUGUGUGUGUGUGUGUGUGUUCCUUCUCAUAUUAGUGUUUAUCUCACAGUGAAGCGUGGACGAUCUUGCAAUAUGAACGUACAAUUUGACUUUUCCCUGAGUUAUCACCGCGGUCUCCUUCACCUUCACCUUGUCCCGGAUCUACGCUGCUGCCAUUUACUCUGCAUCGACCGUCAGAGGAAGGACUGCCACCCUCCCCUCCGGCAUUACAACACCUUCCCUUACCAGCGCUACAAAUAUCGGCCGUGGUGCUGAAGAAAAUGUCCCGCACUUGUCCUGUCAUUUGUGUGGCGUACCCAAGGCUAGCUCUCUGGACCACUCCCGUUUCCACUGUCCGGAAGCCUUGUUCACCUCGCCCAUUCCAUUCUGAGUCUGGCAGCGAGAUAGAGAGGUCGAGUGGAGGAGAUCUCGUGGCGCGGCGCAGAAGGAGGUGCUGAAGGAGUGAAGGGAACAGGCCGUACAUGCCAUCAGGAUCCACGCCCUGCCACCAACCCUCGUCAAUCCGGUCGAUGUUGGUGAUGAUCUCCGAGGGGUCAAAUGUGAUCUCUGUGUCAUCCGCUGAGAAGACGAGGAUGAAUUUUUAGUUUGCUGUUGUCAUCUUUUUUGUUUAUAGUUUUUGUUGUUGUUGUCUUUGUGUGUGGAAA